UACGAGGGGGGCGAGCGUUGUUCGGAAUUAUUGGGCGUAAAGGGUGCGUAGGCGGUUCCGCAAGUCCUGUGUGAAAUCUUCGGGCUCAACUCGAAGUCUGCACGGGAAACUGCGGGGCUUGAGUGUGGGAGAGGUGAGUGGAAUUCCCGGUGUAGCGGUGAAAUGCGCAGAUAUCAGGAGGAACACCAAUGGCGAAGGCAGAUCUCUGGGCCGUAACUGACGCUGAGGAGCGAAAGCAUGGGGAGCGAACAGG
rnacentral:rRNA from 1 species